CAGAGAACGUGACUGCAAUGGUUGCCUGCGCGAAAGCUGUGCCAAACUUGUCUUUUGUGUGACAGCGGCGCGCCGUCGUUUUACCUGUGAUUUUCUAGGAACAUAAUUCUUCUCAACACAGCGGAGGCUGUCGCUGUCCGGACAUUUGAGAGACAACGGAAAAACUUUGAAAAGAGUCGCGCAACGGACUGUUCCAGCUGCGCCCGCUUAACUUCCAGCAGCAAAAGCCCGAGAGAGCUCCCGGAGGAGGAGUCAACAGGUCCAGCAGCAGAGGGACAGGUCUGAGGAAUCGAUGAGGGCAGUCCUGCAGCCGGGAGCCCAGUUGGCCGAAGCACACGGCACUCAAUCAGUCUGAGCACAGCACCUUUGUGAGGCUGGAGGCGACCAACUGAGGCCUGGGAGCGAGCGGGAGGCCCAUCUGAGCAGAAGAGCUUGGGCAUCAUGUGAUCGGUGCAUUCCCUACAGUGGAAGACUGAAAUCCCCCUUUUAUUUUCUUUCAAAGGCAAACCACUAGCGCCCCUAUCACCACUAUCUACUACUCCUGAACCUAACUGCAGCCAUCAAAAGUCCACCCCUGCUUGACUCGACUUGCCUCUGCUCCUUCAUCUUGCGAGAUAAGGCAUGGCCGUGCUCCUUUUCCCUGACGCCUCUCUCAAAUAAGAGCCUUUCAAACCCAAGAGAAAGACAGGGAUAAAACAGUGGUGGCCCCCCUCUUUUAGAACUUGUGUCUUUUUUAUCUUUGUUUCCCUAGUAACUCAACCCUUGACACACACAUUCACUAAAUCAACAAAUUUUUUUGUACCGUUUGACAUCUAAGGCGAGGACAACAGCGUUCAAGUUUCCAAGCCUGGAGUGUGCAGUGGAAUAACUUCUCCUGUCAAUGGUGGAUUAAAUUUGCUUCUACGAUUUGAAUUUUUGCCAUCCGUUUUAGUUGACUCUAAGGGGGACUUGAACUACAAUGGCUGGGAAGGGCAACCCAGUACCAGGUCCCCAUUUAAAUGGCUUCCCAAUGCCCACCUACUCGUACUUUUUCCCUCACAUGUUGGGAAGCCUGUCUCCUCCAGCUCUGCCAGGAUUGUCUAUUAGUGGAUACAGCACACCGUCACCAGCAAGUUUUAGCAGAAAUGCUGGUCUCCGCCUGCAGUCCCUGGACAGGUUGAUGUCACUUGAUCUUCCAAAGACAAUAAACUUAAGUAUACCAUCUCCUGUAAUCUUUCAAUAUAACGAUGACACCCGGCAUUAAAGUUC